rnacentral:rRNA from 1 species
UGCAGUCGAACGGAGCGCUAAUGACGGAGUUUUCGGACAACUGAAUUAGUUGCUUAGUGGCGGACGGGUGAGUAACGCGUGAGUAACCUGCCUAGGAGUGGGGAAUAACACACCGAAAGGUGUGCUAAUACCGCAUAAUGUGUCUGUAUCGCAUGAUACUGGACACCAAAGAUUUAUUGCUCUUAGAUGGACUCGCGUCUGAUUAGCUAGAUGGCGGGAUAAUAGCCCACCAUGGCGACGAUCAGUAGCCGGGUUGAGAGACUGAACGGCCACAUUGGGACUGAGAUACGGCCCAGACUCCUACGGGAGGCAGCAGUGGGGAAUAUUGGGCAAUGGGCGCAAGCCUGACCCAGCAACGCCGCGUGAAGGAAGAAGGCUUUCGGGUUGUAAACUUCUUUUAUAGGGGACGAAAAAAAUGACGGUACCUUAUGAAUAAGCCACGGCUAACUACGUGCCAGCAGCCGCGGUAAUACGUAGGUGGCAAGCGUUAUCCGGAUUUACUGGGUGUAAAGGGCGUGUAGGCGGGAAAGUAAGUCAGGCGUGAAAACUAUGGGCUCAACCCAUAGCCUGCGUUUGAAACUACUUUUCUUGAGUGUCGGAGAGGUAAUCGGAAUUCCGUGUGUAGCGGUGAAAUGCGUAGAUAUACGGAGGAACACCAGUGGCGAAGGCGGAUUACUGGACGAUAACUGACGCUGAGGCGCGAAAGCGUGGGGAGCAAACAGGAUUAGAUACCCUGGUAGUCCACGCUGUAAACGAUGGAUACUAGGUGUGGGGGGUCUGACCCCCUCCGUGCCGCAGCUAACGCAAUAAGUAUCCCACCUGGGGAGUACGAUCGCAAGGUUGAAACUCAAAGGAAUUGACGGGGGCCCGCACAAGCGGUGGAGUAUGUGGUUUAAUUCGAAGCAACGCGAAGAACCUUACCAGGACUUGACAUCCUACUAACGAAGUAGAGAUACAUUAGGUGCCCUUCGGGGAAAGUAGAGACAGGUGGUGCAUGGUUGUCGUCAGCUCGUGUCGUGAGAUGUUGGGUUAAGUCCCGCAACGAGCGCAACCCUUAUUGUUAGUUGCUACGCAAGAGCACUCUAGCGAGACUGCCGUUGACAAAACGGAGGAAGGCGGGGACGACGUCAAAUCAUCAUGCCCCUUAUGUCCUGGGCCACACACGUACUACAAUGGCGGUUAACAGAGGGAUGCAAUAUCGCGAGGUGGAGCAAAUCCCUAAAAACCGUCCCAGUUCGGAUUGCAGGCUGAAACCCGCCUGCAUGAAGUUGGAAUCGCUAGUAAUCGCGGAUCAGCAUGCCGCGGUGAAUACGUUCCCGGGCCUUGUACACACCGCCCGUCACACCAUGAAAGUCGGGAACACCCGAAGUCCGUAGCCUAACUAGCAAUAGGGGGCGCGGCCGAAGG